rnacentral:rRNA from 1 species
UAAAGCAAGAAAGGGCGUAUGGGGAAUGCCUAGGCACACUCCGGCGAAGAAGGACGCAGCAAACAGCGAAAUGCGACGGUGAGCGGUAAGCACGUGAAGAGCCGUCGAUAUCCGAAUGGGGGAACCCACACGGAGUCAUAUCCGUGUAUCACAUGUCGAAUACAUAGACAUGAUGAGGCGAGACGCAGGGAACUGAAACAUCUAAGUACCUGCAGGAAGAGAAAAUAAGAAUGAUUUUCUGAGUAGCGGCGAGCGAAAGGGAAAGAGCCCAAACCGAUCUUAGGAUCGGGGUAGUAGGAUCAUCGAUAAAUCUGACAGAGGAUCAUAGAGGAAUCACAUGGGAAGGUGAGCGAGAGAGGGUGAGAGCCCCGUACUCGAAAUGAGAGACUGGAGAGAGAUGACACCUGAGUAGGGCGGGACACGAGAAAUCCUGUCUGAAUCAGCCGGGACCAUCCGGCAAGGCUAAAUACGAGAGAGUGACCGAUAGUGAACCAGUACCGUGAGGGAAAGGCGAAAAGAACCCCGGCGAGGGGAGUGAAAAAGAACCUGAAACCGUGUACGUACAAGCAGUGGGAGCCUGAAAGGGUGACUGCGUACCUUUUGUAUAAUGGGUCAGCGACUUAUAUUCUGUAGCAAGGUUAACCGAAUAGGGGAGCCGAAGGGAAACCGAGUCUUAACUGGGCGUUAAGUUGCAGGGUAUAGACCCGAAACCCGGUGAUCUAGCCAUGGGCAGGUUGAAGGUUGGGUAACACUAACUGGAGGACCGAACCGACUAAUGUUGAAAAAUUAGCGGAUGACUUGUGGCUGGGGGUGAAAGGCCAAUCAAACCGGGAGAUAGCUGGUUCUCCCCGAAAGCUAUUUAGGUAGCGCCUCGUGAAUUCAUCUCCGGGGGUAGAGCACUGUUUCGGCAAGGGGGUCAUCCCGACUUACCAACCCGAUGCAAACUGCGAAUACCGGAGAAUGUUAUCACGGGAGACACACGGCGGGUGCUAACGUCCGUCGUGAAGAGGGAAACAACCCAGACCGCCAGCUAAGGUCCCAAAGUCAUGGUUAAGUGGGAAACGAUGUGGGAAGGCCCAGACAGCCAGGAUGUUGGCUUAGAAGCAGCCAUCAUUUAAAGAAAGCGUAAUAGCUCACUGGUCGAGUCGGCCUGCGCGGAAGAUGUAACGGGGCUAAACCAUGCACCGAAGCUGCGGCAGCGACACUAUGUGUUGUUGGGUAGGGGAGCGUUCUGUAAGCCUGUGAAGGUGGCCUGUGAGGGUUGCUGGAGGUAUCAGAAGUGCGAAUGCUGACAUAAGUAACGAUAAAGCGGGUGAAAAGCCCGCUCGCCGGAAGACCAAGGGUUCCUGUCCAACGUUAAUCGGGGCAGGGUGAGUCGACCCCUAAGGCGAGGCCGAAAGGCGUAGUCGAUGGGAAACAGGUUAAUAUUCCUGUACUUGGUGUUACUGCGAAGGGGGGACGGAGAAGGCUAUGUUGGCCGGGCGACGGUUGUCCCGGUUUAAGCGUGUAGGCUGGUUUUCCAGGCAAAUCCGGAAAACCAAGGCUGAGGCGUGAUGACGAGGCACUACGGUGCUGAAGCGACAAAUGCCCUGCUUCCAGGAAAAGCCUCUAAGCAUCAGGUAACAUCAAAUCGUACCCCAAACCGACACAGGUGGUCAGGUAGAGAAUACCAAGGCGCUUGAGAGAACUCGGGUGAAGGAACUAGGCAAAAUGGUGCCGUAACUUCGGGAGAAGGCACGCUGAUAUGUAGGUGAAGCGACUUGCUCGUGGAGCUGAAAUCAGUCGAAGAUACCAGCUGGCUGCAACUGUUUAUUAAAAACACAGCACUGUGCAAACACGAAAGUGGACGUAUACGGUGUGACGCCUGCCCGGUGCCGGAAGGUUAAUUGAUGGGGUUAGCGGUAACGCGAAGCUCUUGAUCGAAGCCCCGGUAAACGGCGGCCGUAACUAUAACGGUCCUAAGGUAGCGAAAUUCCUUGUCGGGUAAGUUCCGACCUGCACGAAUGGCGUAAUGAUGGCCAGGCUGUCUCCACCCGAGACUCAGUGAAAUUGAACUCGCUGUGAAGAUGCAGUGUACCCGCGGCAAGACGGAAAGACCCCGUGAACCUUUACUAUAGCUUGACACUGAACAUUGAGCCUUGAUGUGUAGGAUAGGUGGGAGGCUUUGAAGUGUGGACGCCAGUCUGCAUGGAGCCGACCUUGAAAUACCACCCUUUAAUGUUUGAUGUUCUAACGUUGGCCCGUAAUCCGGGUUGCGGACAGUGUCUGGUGGGUAGUUUGACUGGGGCGGUCUCCUCCUAAAGAGUAACGGAGGAGCACGAAGGUUGGCUAAUCCUGGUCGGACAUCAGGAGGUUAGUGCAAUGGCAUAAGCCAGCUUGACUGCGAGCGUGACGGCGCGAGCAGGUGCGAAAGCAGGUCAUAGUGAUCCGGUGGUUCUGAAUGGAAGGGCCAUCGCUCAACGGAUAAAAGGUACUCCGGGGAUAACAGGCUGAUACCGCCCAAGAGUUCAUAUCGACGGCGGUGUUUGGCACCUCGAUGUCGGCUCAUCACAUCCUGGGGCUGAAGUAGGUCCCAAGGGUAUGGCUGUUCGCCAUUUAAAGUGGUACGCGAGCUGGGUUUAGAACGUCGUGAGACAGUUCGGUCCCUAUCUGCCGUGGGCGCUGGAGAACUGAGGGGGGCUGCUCCUAGUACGAGAGGACCGGAGUGGACGCAUCACUGGUGUUCGGGUUGUCAUGCCAAUGGCACUGCCCGGUAGCUAAAUGCGGAAGAGAUAAGUGCUGAAAGCAUCUAAGCACGAAACUUGCCCCGAGAUGAGUUCUCCCUGACUCCUUGAGGGUCCUGAAGGAACGUUGAAGACGACGACGUUGAUAGGCCGGGUGUGUAAGCGCAGCGAUGCGUUGAGCUAACCGGUACUAAUGAACCGUGAGGCUUAACCUU